UACAGAGGGUGCGAGCGUUGUUCGGAAUUAUUGGGCGUAAAGGGCGCGUAGGCGGUGCGGUAAGUCACCUGUGAAAUCUCCUGGCUCAACUGGGAGCUUGCAGGCGAAACUGCCGUGCUGGAGUGUGGGAGAGGUGCGUGGAAUUCCUGGUGCAGCGGUGAAAUGCGUAGAUAUCAGGAGGAACACCUGUGGCGAAAGCGGCGCACUGGACCACAACUGACGCUGAGGCGCGAAAGCUAGGGGAGCAAACAGG
rnacentral:rRNA from 1 species